rnacentral:snoRNA from 1 species
AUCAUAUGAUGAGAAACACAUCUAUUACAGUUCUGCUUCUGAACCAAAAGCUGAAGCCAACGAUAUACCAAACGAUACAUUAAUCUCUGAUUU